rnacentral:misc_RNA from 1 species
UUUCAUCUCCAAUUGGCCUCACACCAAUUAGAGCUGCCUAGCUCUACUUAUAACCUUAAAAGCAUACUGGACUCAAAGGUACAAAAAUCAAAAAUUCAAUCACCAUAAGUUUUCUCAAUUCCAUUCAUCAAUUCUCAACUCAUAACACACUAAAUAUCCAUAAUUAAGCAUGAUAACACUAAUUGGUCAACAUUUCAUCAAAACCCCAAAUUCUCACCAAAACCCUAAUAUUCCAUCUUCACAAUUUCACAACUCAACUCAACUCAACUA